rnacentral:misc_RNA from 1 species
UGGUUAGUGUAGAAUAUGUAUCAAAAUAGGUAGAAGCAAUAGCUACACCAAUAAACGAUGCCAGAGUGGUAGUCAAGUUCCUCAAGAAGAACAUCUUCACAAUAUGUGGCACACCAAGGGCAAUCAUUAGUAAUGGGGGAAGUCACUUCUGUGAUCAGUAAUUUAAAAUAUUAUUAAAGAAAUAUUGAGUGACAUAAAGUAGCAACACCUUACCAUCCUCAAACCAGUGGUCAGGUGGAAGUUUGAAAUAGGGAACUAAAGAGAAUCUUUGAGAAAAUAGUAAAUUGCUCAAGGAAGGAUUGGUCCUUAAAAUUAGAUGAUGCAUUAUGGGCCUACCACACUGCAUUUAAGACUCCCAUUAAAACAACUCCCUUUCACUUGGUUUAUGGGAAAUCAUGUUACCUCCCUGUUGAACUUGAACACAAGGCCUAUUGGGCAAUUCGAAUCCUAAAUUUUGAUUUGAAAGCUACUGGAGAAAAUAGGCUUCUACAACUCAAUGAAUUGGAGGAGAUUAGGCAAGAUGCCUAUGAGAAUGCCAAAAUUUUGAAGGACGAGACCAAGAGCUGGCAUGACAAGCACAUAACUAGAAGAGAAAUCAAGGAAGGAGAUCUUGUCUUACUGUUUAACUCAAAUCUAAAGCUAUUCCCAUAAAAGCUGAGGUCUAGAUGGUCUGGACCCUUCAAGUUUACUCAAGUCUUCCCACAUAGAGCAGUAGAAGUAUAGAGUGAGACCUUCGACACCUUUAAGGUUAAUGGGCAGAGACUAAAGCCAUACUUCUUAGGGGAUCCAAUCGAGAAAGGAUUCACACAAUCCUACAGCAAUGCUCUAGCACAGCCAUGAACUUAGAAGAAUAGUCGAGCUAAGGACUAUAAACAAUCGCUCCCUAGGAAGCAAACCAAGACUUUUAAAUUUUCUUUAUAGUCAAUUUACUUUUUCAUUUUUAUCUUUAUUUCUAGUUUUUUAGGCACUUCACUCUUCAUAUUGAGCAUCAAUCGAGGGAAGCAAGAAGCAAGAAGCAAGGAGAGAGGGAAUCACCAAGUCCAAACCAUGCAAGAGAGGAAACCAAAAAACUAGGGAAGUGUUUUUGUUGCUAACUUCCAUGUGCAUUUUUUAAUUCUUUUACAUAAAAGCAUGUUGGCAUCAAUUUCUGGAGAGUUAGGAAGAGAGAACACCUUUAAAAGCAUAAAUAAUUUUUGGUCCAGAAAGUUACACGGGUCAGUCCGUUUAAUGUUACACGCCUCGCGUAACAUAUUGGACUUAGAAAACCCUAGUGCACAAGCACUCUAGAUGGUUACACAGGGUACCCUGUGUAAUAGUACAUGACUCGUAUAACCUAAAAAGGUUAAAAUAAUGAAUGGCCAACAUAGAGCAGAAAAUUACAUGGCCCCUUGUACACGGGCCUUUUUCACUCAUUACACGGCCCCGUGUAACUUAAAUAAGGUGCACAACAAAGGAAAAAGAGUAGCAGAAAGUUACAUAGAUCAUACCCGUGUAGUGGUACACAACCCAUGCAAUUUGCCAAAAAUUGAAAAAAAAAUAAAUGGAAAGUUACACGGUUCAGGCCGUGUAGUGAUACAUGGACCUACGUAAUUCUUCACAGACAGCGCACCGAAGGGGCAGGAAAAUGCUUCCAAGUGAAAUUUUAGCCCCUUAAAUGUCUCCCAACCAUUACGCACCCAUUCAAAGCCUAUAAAUUCCCCUCCUUCUUUGCUUCCUUCUCUUAUGGCACCCACAAAGAGAGCAGUAGGUAGAGUUGGUUCUUCCUCUAGAUGAGGAAGAGACUCACUAUCCCCACCCUCUCAAUCUCUACCCUAGCGCCCAAAAACUCGCCUUGUCACACACUAAGAACCUCACACACAACUAAACCCAUAGCCACAAUAACCACCACUAUAACCACAACCUCCAUAAUCAGAAUUCUCUAUUGCCUGGCCUUUUAAGAAUACAGAACAUAGAGAUAUCUGUGUCAAGCUCAAUAACAGAAAAAUCUCCUCUGCAAAUACAUGGAUACUGCACUGUUAAAGGAAUUAGGGUUGAAGACAGAGAUUGACAUCCUUUUGGACAAUAUUGGGUGGACCAGGUUUGCCCAAUUAUGCUACCCAACCUAUCGAGACACCACUUUGGAGUUCCUAGGCAGUCUUAAGGCCACCCUUUGGGCAACUGAUAGGGGUGAUAGAGGGAGAAUUGAAUUUUGUCUCUUGGGCAUCAACCAUGUCAUGAACAUGGAUGAAUUUAAUGCUAUUUUUGGUUUUGAUAACAUGGGACACCAAGAGAUCCCACAGAACAGAAUGGUUUAUAAUAGUGUGGAGUUUUGGCAAUCCAUUAUGCCAAACUCCAAAGUCUACAACUCUAACAAAUCAAAAUCCUCUAGGUUAACAAGCCUUAUGUUGCGUUACAUGCAUACGUUCAUUGCCCACACUAUCUUGGGUCGAGAUAAUAGUCUAGGUGUUGUAAAUACCAAUGAACUAUUUUUCUUAUGGUGUAUGGUGACUGGGCAGCGAUGUAGCACAGUUUACUUCCUCUACAACCACUUAAGGAGGAUGUCUCACCAAGCCACUAGGAGCAUUGUGUUAUGUGGUCUCAUCACUGCCAUUGCUAUACACUUUGGGUUCAUGCUUGCGCAUGUUCAGCUGCAUCCAAUCCCCAGUGCCUCCAGAAUUGAUGAAACCAUCUGCAUAUCUAUGGGGAUAUGCAUAAGAGUUGGAGAGUAGUGCCUCCUCAUCGAUGCAAAAGGGAAUGUCAUCCCAGAGUAGUACCAGAAGGAAGAGAGAAGGAAGAAUCCUUUAGAGCAUAAUAGUAAUAGCUACAGCAGUAGGAACCAGACCCUAUUCUCAAGGGAUCACCAGCUAAAGUCCCUCCCUACACUCUACUUCCUACAGACCCUAUGAUUGCCUAUCUGCAAAUGAUGGAGACCUCAUUCGAUGCUCGAAUGAGGGCCUUAGAGAUCACUAUUGAAGACAAACUCCGUGCAGUGGAAGACAGUCUCCAAGAAGCCCAUAACAAAUUGGAUAUAAUCUUAGAGCGCCAUGAUGCAAAUACCACUUCCACACCUUUUAAAAGUUUUUAGUUAUAGGACCAUAGAUUAGGACAUCUUUUUGAUGUACUGCAUAGGCAUAGGCCUUAGUCCUAGUCCCCACAUCUCUAUAUAGGUCCAUAUUCUACUCUAUAUGUAUAUGACCAUUACUUGAAUAAAUAAUAAUCUCUUUUCUAUGCCUUUUUAUUAUUAUUAUUUACUUUUGCAUAUUGUAUUUGCCAUUAAAG